GUAGCCAUAGCUCAAUAGGUAGAGUCCCGGAUUGUGAUUCCGGAUGGUAUCGGUUCGAAGCCGAUUGGUUACCCCA
rnacentral:tRNA from 1 species